GUGCCAGCCGCCGCGGUAAUACGAAGGGGGCGAGCGUUGUUCGGAAUUACUGGGCGUAAAGGGCGCGUAGGCGGCCGAGCAAGUUAGAUGUGAAAGUCCUGGGCUUAACCUGGGGACUGCAUUUGAUACUGCUUGGCUUGAAUUCGGGAGAGGAUAGCGGAAUUCCCAGUGUAGAGGUGAAAUUCGUAGAUAUUGGGAAGAACACCGGUGGCGAAGGCGGCUAUCUGGACCGACAUUGACGCUGAGGCGCGAAAGCGUGGGGAGCAAACAGGAUUAGAAACCCUCGUAGUCC
rnacentral:rRNA from 1 species